rnacentral:rRNA from 1 species
UACGUAGGGUGCGAGCGUUGUCCGGAAUUAUUGGGCGUAAAGAGCUCGUAGGCGGUUUGUUGCGUCUAUCGUGAAAACCUGCAGCUUAACUGUGGGCUUGCGGUGGAUACGGGCAGACUUGAGUUCGGUAGGGGAGACUGGAAUUCCUGGUGUAGCGGUGAAAUGCGCAGAUAUCAGGAGGAACACCAGUGGCGAAGGCGGCUCACUGGACCGAUACUGACGCUGAGGAGCGAAAGCGUGGGGAGCGAACAGG